UACAGAGGGUGCAAGCGUUGUUCGGAAUUAUUGGGCGUAAAGGGCGCGUAGGCGGUGCGGUAAGUCUGUAGUGAAAUCUCUGGGCUCAACUCAGAGUCUGCUGCAGAAACUGCCUGCUUGAGUGUGGGGAGAGGUGAGUGGAAUUCCCGGUGUAGCGGUGAAAAUGCGUAGAUAUCGGGAGGAACACCUGUGGCGAAAAGCGGCUCACUGGACCACAACUGACGCUGAGGCGCGAAAAGCUAGGGGGAGCAAACAGG
rnacentral:rRNA from 1 species